CAAUAGGCAUCUCUAAAUUGUUUGUGGCAUGUGAGUGUGUGUGAUUGUGCCCUGCGAUGGGUUGUCACCCCAUCCAGGAUGUCCCCCGCCUUGUGCCGCAUGUCUCCUGGGAUAGGCUCAAGGCUCCCUGUGACCCGGAGUAGAACAAUGAUUUCAUGCGGUCUCUCAUUAGCAAGAUGGACUUCAAGUCUUUGGAGAUGAAGCUGUACAAAGCAAAGCAGUUGUUCCUGUUCCUGCUGGAGGGCCAGUCUGAGGGCAGCGAGGCACCACAGGGUCGUAUCAGUGCUGAACAACUGCUUGUGGAGCUGAAGGCAGGGGGGAUCCGUGAGGAGCAGGAGGAAGAGGUCAGGCGUGAACUCCGUAGCCUUCGCUCCCUCGACCUGCUUGACUUCCUCGCACACCUACCCCUCUUCAUCCUCAUCCACAACUCCGUCAUUGCCAACCCGCUGGAUGACUCUAGCAACCUGUGACAGAAACACCAAAGCUGUGUUAUGUUUUAAAGGCAGCAUCCAUAUCGCAUGCAAGCCAUACUGUCAGGAUGCCCUGUCACAGCUUCUAGUGCACCUUACUCACGAUAUUCGUUUAUUCACUACCGCUUAUCAGCUUCGAUCAGCAAUAAAACUGAACAUGAAUACAAUUUUCUGUGUGAAAAAAAA
ensembl:lncRNA